UGAAGACUAUUCAUCAGAGCUUGUAAGAUUUGUACCCUUCCUGUCUAUGUCUGGGAUAAGGAGGAUACGGGAGGGUCCUCUCACAAGUAUCUGUAAGCAGGGACCCAUCUACUGGCCCUGGGGUAAGGAGGGUGUGGUGUUCUUUGCAGAACAGUAGUAAAACUUCCCACUCUUGCUUUUUCUGUUCAGGAGGUUCUGGCUGGCAGGUGUUGUUAUCCCCUCUCCAGUGGUCACUUGGUACCUUGUCUGGAACUCUGGGUGGGCCAUAGCCCUCAAGCAUGCACUCAUCUCGGUCCUCUUGGCUCCUAGUCUUGCCAAGACUGAGAGCUGGGGACUCUGACAUGUGCUCAGCCAUAGGGCUGUGGGACCUGGACUGUGCCAGGGCACCCUGCCAUUGCUUUCCGGGGUGAGUCAACAGGUGAGUCAGAGGCCCAGAGCCAUUGCUGAAACCUGCAGAGCUACAGAUUUGGAACCCAAUGCCUGCAGAGGGUGUACACUCUGCAGCCCUGGAGGAAACCUGCCACUCCUGACUUCCAAGCCCAGCUUGAGUGGAGGGAGAAGAAGAGAGGUUCCAAUGUGUCCAGGUGUAUUCUUGACAGAAAUGAAACAAGUGUAAAUAUCUACAGAAGCAUUAUCUGCAAUAACUUGAAGGAGGAAGAUUCCACAUACCCAGAAACCCAUGAGCAGGUAAUUAAAACAUAAGAAUAAGAUUUCUCAACAACGAAACUGUAGACAGGAGAUGGGGGGGAUAGCAUAGACGAACCUUCAAAAUAUAAUGCUUUGGGUUAGAAGCCACACACAAAAGGCCACCAAUAUAAUUCCAUCCAUGUGAUUUACUGUACUAGGGAAGCAUAGGGACAGAGGACCAGCAGCCUCUGAGGGAAGGAGUGGGGUUACAGUUGAGGGGCAAAUGUGAUUUGUGUGAGUCAGUGUUCUAAAAUGGGACGCUGUGACGCAUCACGCAGAGCCGUGAAUACGUUAAAUGGCACUGAACAUUUUCAGUCUGUACGCGUAUGAACUACAUCUUAGCAAAGGUGUUAAACACCCAUGCACAGCCCCUGCCCCCCCUACAUGCACCCCCACAACAUACCCCUAAAGGACUGGGCUACUCAGUAGUGAGCAUUUGUCUAGAAUAAGAGGACCCAGAUUUCACCUCCAGCGCUGAAAAAGGAAAAGGAAAAGAAUAGAGGAAAAACGGCCCACACUUGUAAAGGGUCUGUUUGCAGGUCUGUGUGCAGUGAAAGCUUUAAUGUACCAUGCACCAUGCAAAACAGUCUGGCUUUGUGCGGCUCUGAAGCCACUGUCAUGUAGAAACACUGUAGCUGAGACCUGUGACACCUCAGCUUAAAGCACAAGGCUCAGGAGAUCAAUUGGGGCUCGGUUAAGAGUGUACAGAUCUUUAACUAAUGAAUGCGAAGAAAUGUGCUGGGGAUUUUGUUUAAGCGCUGGCUUUGAGAAGUCACAGCAGGAUAAACAUUACUCAGUGUGGCACUGAAACUGCUUAUUGAGGUCUGUUACGCAACCGGACAAUCAGGCUUCUAUUUUAGGAGCACAGCUACCUGGCUGUUUAUCCCUGGAUGCUACUGCUGCCUCAGCUGGUUAAGGGCAUGGGAAGGUUGUUCCCAUGAGGAGGGCAGGAGAGAAAGGGAUGUAUACUGGUUCAUCCUUGUGCUGUCAACUGCAGUCUGAUGCUCAGUGAAUUUCACGACUGACGUGAGCGUUAGAAGGAACUCAUCACUAAGCGAUUUAAGUCAGAAAGACAAAUACCAUACACUUUCUCCCUUUUGUGGGUCCUAGGUUUUAUGCAAAUACACAGAAUUAUACAGAUGACAUGAAACAGAAGCAAGACUGUCUAGGGCGUUAAGGGGAUGGAAGGAAAUGGGGGUGAGAUACCAGAGGACAGAGGGGCAUGGCAAGGACUUGCAGGAAGAUGCUUGUAUAAGCCAGAAUGAUAAUUAAAAAAAAUAACUCAUGCAAGGACAUUUAUUCAGUUAAAAGUGACCCACAUUUUUUUAAUAGAAUAAAGUGAUCAAAACCUCCUAUCUCUUUCUGAAGGCAAAUGCUUUAGUUUUGUGCAAUAUGAAAAUAGAAAACUGUCUUGGCUUACCUCCUUUACAACAGCUCUCUAUGCUUCUGAGUGGUCCCUUAUUUAAUGGCUUUAAGUCAAGGCCUGUCUUGGAGGUAAGACCCACUCUGAUUAAAUAAUAACACCAAUAUAUCAAGAGUGCAGAUGUCUUCUGAAUAUACAUUGAUCUCCAAUACAUGGGACCUCCCAGUGUGCCUUCCCACUUGCAAGUCAACGUGGGCAAACCCAGAACAGUCAACGUGGGCAUCAUUGCUAGGUAUCCAUGGUUAUUGCCUCCUCACUGAUUUUGAACUACUAUGUCUUUGGAAAGGUGAAAAUACAAGCUGCUUAGGAAAAAAAAAAAAAACGAGUUUGAAUGCAUCUAUGCAGCAAGAUUAAGGACAGAGAGACACAGAGACCUGGAGAGACAAACUCCUCGGACUUUGUCAUUGCAGCUACAAUUUGCCUCAAAGAGCCACACCCAGGUUGUGAAAUGGACUUUCCAUUUUAUCUCAGCAGCAGGGCAUCCUUCAAAGCCAUCUCUGUGGUACUGCAGCCUCAGGGUGAAUUGUGGGAAUAGCAAGCCAAGUUUAGUUUGCUGAGAGGGCUGGGGAAACACACCAGGCUGGCGCCAUGUCCAUACAAUCCAUGGCAGAGCAAAUCACUUGAGCUUUGGAAAGGAAUGGACUAUGGGUGGGGAAUUUUCUGCACACAGCAAAAAGCUGCUGAUCACCAAGAUCAACUGAGGCCAGCUCUUCACUCACCAGCCAUCUGAGCAUGGUGUUCUUUGCAAAAAUGCACUCAGAGGAAGCCCAGAUGUCUCUUGGCUCACAGGUGCUGAUAAGAAAUCAAGCCGCAAAGUGGUUAACAGAUGAUCCUAGUUGUAAAAAGCUUAUGAAAAAUCUUCUAGAGCUUUCUACUUGUCCACACAGGUCACAUGGAGACCCAGGAAGCAUGCGCAUGGGGUUUCCUGAGCUAGCCCUGAAGUAAGACUUUUAAGCACCAAGAGAAUCGUGAUUUUAAAAACAGCAGCCAGUCUCCACCAUUUGGUUUAACCCUAGGUCCUUUGUGCUCAGGAGUGAAACACAGAAGGCUGGCUAUUUUGUGAACAUUGAAGUGUCUAGUAAGGCUUGGGCUGGGCUGUCCCUGUUCAGGGUGGUGAGGUAUGGUAGAUUCCAGCAGUGAAUCAGAAAGAGCCCACUUGUAGAAGGCCUUGUCAAAAGCAUCUCUAAACUCUAUGUCAUAUUUCCUUUUGAAAUAUUCCAAAUAUUCUACUUUAAACAAAAUCGACCUCCAAUUGUUUUAAUUUGUGUUAUUUGAAAGAUUAAAUAUAAAUGCUACCUCAACCAGCAUGGUCUUUUGUUAAAAAAAGAAUGGAAUCAUGACUGCUGCAGGUAAGUUGGAAAGGCAUAUAAUACUCAGGGCUAAAAGUGCAAUGUAAAACCAUGACACUGGAGGAAGGGCUGAAGAACUCCACACCUUUCUGUACCACUGAAUGUGUGGAAGGGGUUCCUCUAUCCUGGGAUCAAACCAGAGUGAAGCUGAUGAAUUCCAAAUGCUGGAAUGCCAUUACUCAUUACAGCACAGGCCAAAAGCCCAAGCAGCAGCAAUAAGCUUUUGGGACCAGAGCCCAACUCCAGAGGAUGAGAGAGAGGGAGCUCAGAGUUGGGAUGACACUGUUCUUCCCUCCUUACGGGGAUUGCCAGAGGAGAGUCCUCUCAACACUUCCUAACCUUGCCCAGCCUCCCACCCCCACUCACCUGUAUGCUUUUCUUGUCACUUGCCUCAGUACAGCUAUGAACUGGUACAAGGUGAAUAAUCUGUGUGGCAAGGAUCCUAAAUCACCAUGGGCGGUUUGCAUGGUUGAGCCCGCCUUGUUUAUUGACUAAGGCUUGUUUGGCUGCUUAGGACUUAUGAAGUAUAAUCAGGAGGCAUUAAAAAAGAGGACUCCUCUGUUCCAAGUGUCAGAGGCAGAUGCAUAAAGUUGAACUUUCUCUGUAACUACCUGGUGAUUACAUUUUGAAAGUAUGAUUCUUAGAUUAAUGCAGGCAUCAAAUGGCAACAGGGAAGUGUGUUUGAACCAUCCAGAUGCAGAACUGAGAAGCGAGACUAAGAAGCCAUUCCUGCAGUGGUGGCUAGAGGUUCAGGGCUGGUGUCUGUGAGGGAGUCCUGCCAGUCCACAUCUAUGCAAUCAUACCCUCAAUGUGUACACACACACACACACACACACACACACACACACACACACACACACAC